AAUCCCUUAUCAAUGAUCUCAUUCUAGAAUCCACAUUUCUUGACGCUGUAUGCGGGAACAUGGACAGAGUGCCCUGACAAAUAUUAUUUUUCCAUAGCGUUAAUUUUUCUGCGAAACCUUUUAUUUUAUCAGAUGACGUCAGAAUAUUCUCAUUUCGUCCCUGCAUACCUGCAUUUAAUUUAAGAUGUUCGAAUAAAUCUGCCAAGUACGCCAAUUUUGUGCACCAUGUAUCGUCGCUGAAUAAAUUAACAAACUCUGAUGACUCCAAUGUGAGGAAUAUUAAUAACUCUUCCUUAAGUUCAUACACGCGGGACAAAAUACGUCCUCUUGAGAGCCAUCUUACCUCGGUGUGAAGAAGCAACGUGUAGUGGGCUGCAUCCAUGUCUUGGCAAAUUUGUUUAAAUAAUCUAGAUUUCAACGGACGACUCUUAAUGAAAUUUAUAACCCUUACUACAUCUUCCAAAACAGUUUUGAAAUCAUUCGGUAGUUUUUGAUACCAAUGCUUCCCUAUGAAUAAAGCAGUGGAACCAGUCAUUGAAGGUGCUCCGUCGGUACAUAUUCCAAUACAAUCGGUCCAUGAUAAAUCAGAGGAUUUCAAAUAUGCAUCCAAAACAUUAAAUAUGUCUUCGCUUCUUGUUGUUUCGUGCAGUUCUUUGCAACAAAAAAAGUUUUCAAUAAAGUCAUCUUCA